AUGCUACUUCCUAUGUAUUGGCCUGCGGGGCAUGAUGUCAAAUAUCGUAAAAAAUAUAAGUACAACCCUUCUUAUCACCAAUUGAUCCGACACAAUGAUUGAUGACACCAAGUUCUUGCUACAAGAACUAGAUGCUGCAUAAAGUCAUAGUAUUCCACACAAGGGCUAGACUUGUCAGACAAGAAAUGUAUCUUGAUAUACUGUAGAAGCAAUUAGUCUUCUUUUUAUUUUUAUUUAUUUAUUUUUUUGGGAUGCCAUGGACAGAGGGGUGUGUUCUUUCUUUAAAGGUACCGUUGGAUGGUAAUUCUCCCAAAUAAAAUAUAGGAUGGAACACAGAAGGGAUUGACAAUUUAUAAAACUUGGUGAAAUUCACUUUUGAAAAAUUCCGUCCUGUAGACACAGUGAAAUGAAGAAGAUUCCUAUA